GGCCUCGGGAGCGAGACGUUGCUGCGCCGGCAGCCCGGCACCACGGACCGGUGCGGCUGUGGGUCGCCAUAGCGACGCUGGUUACUGGCAAGCUUCAAGCCUUCAGCCGAUGGGGCUGCUGCGUGCACGCGUCCACCAUCUUCGCCGCCUCCUCGAGACGAGGCCGCCACCAUCGAGUUCCACUCCGGCGCGUUUUUUGCACCCCCUCCCGUGUGCCUCCUUUUUCAUCGGUCGCUGCCACCUCUCGCCAUGACGCCCGCGGCUCUAGCCCUCGGAGCUCGGUCUACUGGGCCUGGAUCCGGGCGGUGGCCCAGCCCCCGCUACCCCAUAGGAGGAGGAGGAAGAAGGCAUGGCGUGCUACAUCCCCUUCCAGGUCUACUUCCUACGAACUUUGUUUGAUUUUGUUCAUCCAAUCUUUUACAGCACGGGAGCGACGUGGUAAAUCCAUCCACCUGGUUGCUAAACUGCAUUGUGCUCCGCUAAUCUGAAUUCCCUCCAGAGAUCAUGGGCAUUGGAGUGAAGGACAGUGGAUUUCCUAUCGCUAUGUGGCUGUCUUCCAAUAUGGUUCUGCUGUGCCCUUUAAUAUUAGUGAUGAUGAAGCUGAGCACUAUCUUUAUAUGAUCAGAAAUCAUGCUUCGGGAUGGCUUCCGGAGAUGAGGAAAGACGAUUAUGCAGUAGUCGAAAUGUCAUCCCUGACAACUUGGAUGAAAGGAGGUCUUGAUUAUAUAGUUCUUAAAAGUUUAGACACUUCUGGAAUUCGGAUAAUUUCAAGUGUUCUUGGUCAAAGUCGAUGAUAUGGUUGAGGAAUUUACUGAAAUCAGUCGUAUCAUGGAGAAGACUGGCGACUGCACAAUGAAAAGAAAGAAGCUCUUUCAACUUAUGGGCAAGGCUAAUUCUAAUCUUGCAGAUGUUAUCAUUAGACUUGGCUGACAGUUAUGUCAUAAAUUGCUUGGAAAAAUGCAACAUCGAUGCUAGAAUCCCGAGGAGACUAUGGCCGGUGGUGGAGAUUAUUUUGUAUGCUGACGGUGGCGGCUACACGGCGGAGGCCUGCACACUCGACUUCGACAUUGCCGUCUUCAACAAGAAGGUCUCCCUCGCCGGCCAAGAUCAGUAUAUGGUGGCGGGCGGGCGGAACCUCUUCCCACUGCUCCCGGAGGCGUCAAGGGCGUCAAGCCCUCCGUCGUGAUCGGAUGGGGCUCCCAGGAUUGAGAAGAUUUUGACUUUGGAACCUUUUAGAUGUACACAAAGAAAGCAGAUUGUGCUGGUAGAUAAUGAUGGUGAGAAGAUCAAAUUUGUUUUAUGGGGAGAACGGUUUCACAUAUUGUACUUGUACAGAAAGAGAGCGAUUGUGUUUCUUUUCAAAAGAUAACUUUUGUCAGCCAUUGUGUUGCUUGCAAGCAGAAUACUUACUGAUUUAGUUCUCACACCGAUUCUGCUGAAGCUGUGAUUUGUACCGAGUUAUAUUGUGUCAAUCCUAACGUUGGUAUAUGCAACCUAACAUGUUGAGUUUGCUGCAACGAAAACAAAAAGAAUUUAAUAUUUUUUUAUAACAAAAAGAAUUUAAUA